UACGUAGGGUGCAAGCGUUGUCCGGAAUUAUUGGGCGUAAAGCGUUCGUAGGCGGUUUGUCGCGUCCGUUGUGAAAGCUUGGGGCUCAACCCCAGGUCUGCAGUGGAUACGGGCAGGCUAGAGUCAGGUAGGGGAGAACGGAAUUCCUGGUGUAGCGGUGAAAUGCGCAGAUAUCAGGAGGAACACCGGUGGCGAAGGCGGUUCUCUGGGCCUGUACUGACGCUGAGGAACGAAAGCGUGGGGAGCGAACAGG
rnacentral:rRNA from 1 species